rnacentral:rRNA from 1 species
UACGUAGGGGGCGAGCGUUGUCCGGAAUCAUUGGGCGUAAAGCGCGUGUAGGCGGCUUGGUAAGUCUGAUGUGAAAACUUGGGGCUCAACCCCAAGCGUGCAUUGGAUACUGCCUUGCUUGAGUCCGGGAGGGGAGAUCGGAACUCCGAGUGUAGCGGUGAAAUGCGCAGAUAUUCGGAAGAACACCGGUGGCGAAGGCGGAUCUCUGGAACGGUACUGACGCUGAGACGCGAAAGCGUGGGGAGCAAACAGG